rnacentral:tRNA from 1 species
GGAGGUAUACCCAAGUCUGGUUGAAGGGAUCGGUCUUGAAAACCGACAGGCGGGUCAAACCGCGCGGGGGUUCGAAUCCCUCUACCUCCUCCA